rnacentral:rRNA from 1 species
GUGGGGAAUAUUGCGCAAUGGGGGAAACCCUGACGCAGCAAUACCGCGUGAGUGAAGAAGGUUUUCGGAUCGUAAAACUCUUUUAUUGGGGAAGAAGAAGUGACGGUACCCAAUGAAGAAGUCCCGGCUAACUACGUGCCAGCAGCCGCGGUAAUACGUAGGGGACAAGCGUUGUCCGGAAUCACUGGGCGUAAAGGGCGCGUAGGCGGUUUUAUAAGUCAGAUGUGAAAGGUACCGGCUCAACCGGUGACGUGCAUUUGAAACUGUAAGACUUGAGGACUGGAGAGGCAAGUGGAAUGCCUAGUGUAGCGGUGAAAUGCGUAGAUAUUAGGAGGAACACCGGUGGCGAAGGCGGCUUGCUGGACAGAUACUGACGCUGAGGCGCGAAAGCGUGGGGAGCAAACAGGAUUAGAUACCCUGGUAGUCC